AAACCUGAUUCUGCUGUCCCCUCAUGAAAAAAAAAAAAAAUCCAAAACCAAGGGGAGAAGCUAAACUGUGAUCGAACGUAAGAAGAGAGAUGACGGGACUAAGAAAGCCAGAAAUGGUAAACUACACGAACCCAUGUUUGACUAUGCAUCAACCCUGGGCUUCGCUUCUCGUUUAUGGGAUCAAACGCAUUGAAGGCCGCUCUUGGCCGGCCCCCAUCACAGGUCGUCUUUGGAUUCAUGCUGCCGGUAAGGUUCCUGAACGAGCUACAAUAAAAGCAAUGGAGGAUUUUUACCGGGAAAUUUAUGGACUUGAUGGAAUUACUGAUGUCGAGUUUCCUCAGCAUUAUCCAGUUUCAAGACUUCUAGGGUGUGUUGAAGUAGUUGGCUGUGUUAACUGUGAAGAAGCAGCAAACUGGAAAGUGUUACCCGAAGGGGUGAGGCUAGAAGCACAGACAGAGUUUUGCUGGCUUUGCGAAAAUCCUCGGAAAUUGGUAGUUCCGUUUGAGAUGCGAGGCUAUCCAGGUAUUUAUAGUUUGGAAAAGAAGAUAUAUGAUGCUGCAAGUAGGGGUCUUCUUCCAAUUAAGAGUCCACUGCCAGUAAAAUUUCCACUUCCGGAUCCACAUGAUCCUUUUUCCUUGAAACCAGGAUCUAUUUCUGCACAAGCCCGUGAAAAGAAAUCAUCUGUGGUGGAAAAAUCAUCCAGUCUGAGUGUGGCCAUUGCUGCUGCACUAGCAGCUGCUACACAGGUCAACAAAAAUGAUGAAGAUCUCCAAAUAAAUAUCAUGCAAAAUAGGGAACCUUAUUCUUUCAGAAGUCAAUCAAUGAACAAAUCAGUGGAAGAAGAUGGUUUUGAUGAGGGAACUUCAGAUUUGGCUGAGCGUAAAUAAAGCAAUCACAUUAAUCAUGUGGAAACCAUUAAACAGCAUAUUAGCCUCCCUCCAAAAUUUUUGCAGCAGCAUAGAGAGGACUGAAGCCAUCAUGAAUUUCCAUCUAUUCUCUGGAGUUCAGCAAUUUACAUCCCUAGUUUCAUUAGCACUCAGCAAUUAUAAUCUGCAGUUGGUGAAUACAGCGCAUUGCAUAGGGCAUUCAAGAGCAGGCUUUUUAUAUUACUGGUUGUCCUUGCUGUAAAGCUAGCCUAUGGGUUUGCAACUUAACCAAUGUUUGAAGAUUUUAUAAGGCCAAAGAACUUAUUACCAUCUAAAGUAUGUUGUUUUCCUAAAUUUUUAUAUUUUAUUUUUGAAAAUCUCAAAUAUCUAUCUAUACUAUAGAUGGUUAAAGUUAAUGAAAUUCUUACCUCUUAAAAUUUUAUUUCUUUUUACCCCCCAAAACCCUAAAAAAUAACAAUCUCUCCCCUCAGGCCAAGUUUUGAAAAGUUGCAAUUUUCUCCCUAGGGUUUUUUUUAUUAUUCGGUGGCAUCUCCUUUCUCUUUCUCCAAUGGUCACUCCCUCCAUUCGGUAGUCCUAAACCUAGCGGGAAAACGAUGUUUCGUUGAGAAAGACGAACAACUUUGUCUUCUCGACGAAGUUGAGAGUGUUUUUCAGCUUCAAUCGACGUCGUUCAAGCUUUCAAAUGGGAGAAGCUUGGUCACUGGAGUAAGAGAAGGCAUCGAGAGACAUUCGUCAUUGGCGAUGACGUCGGAGAUCUGGAAACUAAACCCUAGGGAGGAAAUGUCAUUUUUUAAAACCUGGUUUAGACAAAAACUUUUAGUUUUUAAAGUUUAGGGGGGAAAAAAGAUUAAAUUUUAGUUUAUUUUUAAUAUUACAGGUAAAAAAACAAUUUUAUCUCUAAAACAGUUAACUUUAACUGUCAAUGGAUGGGUGUUUGAGAUUUUCAAAAAUCAGAGGUGGGAACUUGGGAAAACAACAUACUUUGAGUGGGAAUAAGUCCUUUGGCCAUUUUAUGAUAGUGAAUGUCCUUGUGUAGAAAAACUAGUACAAAUUGAGGAUGUUACAAACUUUGAAUCUUCCAAUCUUC